AUUUUGGUUUCUCGUUUGUCCAUCUUCUCCUCUAGACCCUGAGCUCUCACGAGGAGAACCCGCUGGGCUGAUAAGCCCUGGCACCAUCUGAGUGCGCAGUGCCCAGUGGCUGAAUGAGCGGGAGACAGGAUCUGUCCCAGCACAGACCAGCUCCGUUGUUUGACCCUCACUGAUUUUAGUCCUGUGAGCCCAGAGUCCCUCCCCCAUCGGCCUUCUCCCUCCUUGGGAUGACAUGCACCUCUGAUGCCAUCAGCACAAGAAGAAAGAUGACAAGGAAAUACACAGAGGAGGGUGUUUCCGGCCAGGUCUUGAAGGCCUCAAGCCCCAACCUCAGAAGAAGAUGCUGAACCACCUCAAGAGCUACCUCUAGCUCCCACUGUGGUCCCUGCCGCAGCUUCAGAGCCUGAGGGGCCUGGAUGGGAACCAGUUGUGAGUGUGAUACAGCUAUGGAUACAGCCGAGGGGAGGCACCUACCUGAAGGAGCCUACUGCAAAGUUUCUAUGGACAACAAGGUGCAUGAUUGAAAGACUUAGGGGUCUUCCCCUGUGGGGGACAUUCCUGGCUUAAAAGUGUUCAAGCGGUGAAGCGGGGCGAUAUCCCAGGUGUGACAGCAUGAUUUCAGGAUCCCUGGGGUCCCCAGAAGACCAGCUGGGGCCCGAAUGCUUCCGAGUUCCCAGACAUCAGUUAGGGAGGAUGGCUGAAAACCAGGAAGCUAGGUCCCGGCUUUCUGCUCUGGGAAGCAAGCUGGGCCCAGACACCACCUUAUUCCAUCCACAAAGUCUCACACAUCUCGCCAUUCUGGUUGCAAUGAAGAAAUGGACUGUACACCAGAAUUUCGUACCUGUGGAUUAUGCCCAGGAUUUAAGGUGCUAGAGAAACAUUUUUUGACACAGG